UGUAAUUUACUCCUCGCCACCGAGCAAAAGGAAUGAAAGGAGGGAGAGUGAGAGGAUCGAAAGAGUAAAGAGUGGAAAAGAAGGUGAAGAGGGGGGGGAUUGAAAAAAAGAGAAGAUUUCACGUGAAACGGUUUACAAAUCCGGAAUUACUUGGAGCGGGUAACUGUUCCACCGGCAGGAUUUAGGAUGUCUGUCGUAGGCGGUAAUGCAACAAGGAGAGAAAGAGGGGGAGGAUGAGAGAGAGAGAGAGAGAUCGUGAUUCGACCUAAGCUUAACUCGAUAAACUCUUCGAGAGCUUUGAAUCAGACGGUAAAUUCCGCGGUUGCGUUUAUCAGAGUUACUACGAGUUGCAUGAAAGAAGGGGAG